UACAGAGGGUGCGAGCGUUGUCCGGAAUCAUUGGGCGUAAAGAGCGUGUAGGCGGCCUGAUAAGUCGGUUGUGAAAGUCAAGGGCUCAACCCUUGAAUGCCGACCGAUACUGUCAGGCUAGAGUCCGGAAGAGGCGAGUGGAAUUCCUGGUGUAGCGGCGAAAUGCGCAGAUAUCAGGAGGAACACCAAUUGCGAAGGCAGCUCGCUGGGACGUCACUGACGCUGAGACGCGAAAGCCAGGGGAGCGAACGGG
rnacentral:rRNA from 1 species